UGGGCUUUAGCUCAAUAAUCGUCGGACCGACCUCCACUUCCGUCUCCGCCUCCUUAAACCUCUCCACUUUCCGGCCAGAAGAGGAAAAACAGAAACAGGAAAAAAAAGAAGAGACAAGAAUGCAACACAGAGACAAGAUCAGAAUCGCAGUCGCUGUAGUUUCUCUAACAGCACUCUCAAUCCUUUUCAUAGAACUGUAUCGUAGACGCCGAAAGCAAAAGAGCCGUCCCAGUUUAUGCUAUUUACAAUCGGACCAGAAGCCGCAGUUCGGCUUCAAGCGCGUUUUAGCUGAUAACUCUUUUUCUGAGUUCAAGCACUUAAAGCUCCAUAACUCCUCUAACGAUAAUUCUUCAAAUUUGCAUCCUUAUGAAAGGGAGAUCACAGCUUUGAUAGAGAAUUACAGAUUUGAAUUUGAUAUAUAUAGCAACAUGAAGUUGAAGGAAAUGGAUAAUGUAUAUGUUUGGAUUGAGACAGAGUCUCAGUUAAAGGAGUUAGCAGACUUUUUGAGUAAAGAGAAGGUUUUUGCUGUUGAUACCGAGCAGCACAGCUUGCGGUCAUUUCUAGGCUUCACUGCUUUAGUUCAGAUUUCCACCCAGGAGGAGGAUUAUUUGGUGGAUACGAUUGCAUUACAUGAUGCAAUGGGAAUUCUCAGACCGGUUUUUGCUGAUCCUAGUAUUUGCAAGGUGUUCCAUGGAGCUGAUAAUGAUGUUCUUUGGCUACAAAGAGACUUUCAUAUUUAUGUUGUUAAUUUAUUUGAUACUGCAAAGGCAUGUGAGGUGCUGUCAAAACCACAGAAAUCACUAGCAUACUUGCUUGAAACUUACUGUGGCGUAUCUACAAAUAAAUUACUACAGCGUGAAGACUGGAGGCAACGUCCUUUAUCUGCAGAGAUGUUACAAUACGCUCGAACAGAUGCACAUUAUCUAUUGUAUAUUGCGGGUUGUUUAAUUGCUGAGCUCAAACAAGACAAUGAAAAUCCAUCUCAUCCAGACGGCAGUUUAAAUUCUAUUGUUGAGGUUUGUCGCCGCUCAAAUAUGAUUUGUCUACAACUCUACAAUAAAGAGGUUGAAGAUUUUCCUGGAGAAUCUGCAGCAUCAUCAAUUUGUUUUCGUCAUUUGAAUGGUCAAGGAGGUUCAUCGGUUUCAUGUGAGAUGCAGGGUCUUGUGAGACGCUUGUGCACAUGGCGAGAUUUAAUGGCUCGUGUACACGAUGAGAGUUUAAGAUAUGUAUUAUCAGACCAGGCUAUCGUCUCCCUUGCAGACAAGUUUCCAACAAAUCCAAAAGAAAUAUAUGAUACCAUAUCUCAAGCCGAUAUGAAUCUCAAUCCCGUGAAUUUUAAUUUUUCUGUAUCAUCUCCAUCCCCUGUUGUUUGCAGUCAUUUGGAUGAUUUUUGCUUCUUGAUCCAGGACAAGGGAAACAACCCUGAUGAUAUGUUCUCAGCACUUCUUCAAAAAUGCCUUGGUCAGAAAGGGAGUUGUCCGUUGUCUGCUUAUAAUUAUGCAUUAUUGGUUACUCGUGGCCUGAGACAAAAAAAUAGUUCAGUUUCCAAGAAAAAUGGGUUUAAAAAUUCUAAACAGGUUGCUAGGAAGGCCUCACGAGACCUGUUUGUUCAGAAGUUCUCAUGCAAAGCUCCAGUGUAUCAUAACUGUAGGAUCUAUGCAAAUGAUGGUCGAUUGCUUUGUUACUGUGAUCGUAGAAAGCUUGAAUGGUACCUUCAACGGGAGCUGGCAAAACUCAUUGAAGAUGAACCCCCUGCCAUAAUGCUACUUUUUGAACCAAAGGGUCGCCCAGAAGAUGAAGGCAAUGGUUUUUACAUUCAAAGUAAGAAAAAUAUAUGUGUUGGAUGUGGUGAAGGAAAUCAUUACUUGCGAUAUCGAAUAAUUCCUUCAUGCUACAGAAUGCACUUCCCUGAGCAUUUGAAAAGCCAUCGUUCUCAUGAUAUAGUCCUCCUCUGUGUGGACUGCCAUGAAAUUGCUCAUGCUGCUGCUGAGAAACACAAGAGAAAAGUAGUUGCGGAAUUUGGAAUUCCGUUGUUUGUUCGUAAAGUAGUUGAUUCCAAAGAAGCCCCUGUCAUACCUGAUCCAUCUUCUUCGGUGAUGAACGAUGAGGAGGCGGGGGUAUCUCCCUUACAGUUGCGUAUAGCUGCUAUGGCUCUUCUGCGCCACGGAUCAAGAAUGCCACUGGAGCGCCGAGAAGAACUGAUGCAGAUUGUCAAACAAUAUUAUGGAAGAAGGGAGAUAUCUGAGGAAGAUUUAGAAAGAGCUUUGCUUGUUGGCAUGAGUCCUCAUGAGAGAAGACGAUUUGAGAAGAAGAGGGGAUUGUCUUCAAAACAUUCUCUUGGUAAUAUCCUUCCAAAUAACAAGCAGAUGAACAAUGUGGUUUCUGUGGUCAAAUCUACCAUUGAGAACACACCUAAAAUUGAUACUCUAGGUGGUUCUCAAACUACUGAAGAUCAAGACUAUUUCACAACAGCAGUCACUGAUACAACUGUCUGUUCUGAUCUACAAUCUGCUACAAUUUACAAGGACACAAAUUCAGAUGACACCGAAAUUUCUGAUGAAAAAGAAAUUCAUACUGGAAAUGUUGAUGAUAAUUGUGAAGGAAGUCCACCUAAGGAAAUAGUUGACUCAAAUUAUCCUAGACACAACGGAAGUGCUUUGCCUAAAAAUUCGAAGCUAUCUCUGUUAGGACAUGGACCACAUGGAAAGCAAGUUGUGGAUCAUAUACUGAAAGAAUAUGGAGAGGAAGGAAUCCGUGAAUUUUGUCAAAGAUGGAGACAAGUUUUUGUUGAAGCAACUCAUCCUCGUUUCCUACCUGCUGGUUGGGAUAUAAUGCACAGAUACGUUGCCUCAUUAUGCUUUCUACAAUGCUUUCAUGGCAGAAGGGACUUUGGUGAGUUCAGUGUGUACAAUCCAGCCAAGAAAGCAUCUACCGUGAAGACAUAAUGUAUAAACUCCCCAGUUACUGCAUAUGUUCUAUUAUUUUCUUUAGGCUUCGUUUGGCUGGGCUGAGCUAGACUUAGUAAAUUGAAGGCAAGGCAACACAAGUUAUACUAAAGCAGUGUUGUUGGAAUCAGAUCAAACCAGGUGGCUGUCUGGUUCAGAAAUUGGCUCGGUUUUUGAGGAAAAAACUGGGUUUUUUGAAAAAAGUUGGAUUGGACCUUUAAUAAAUAAAAACCAGAAAAGAAGUGGGUUUUGAUGAUGAGUCAGCUGUAAGUCGGUUGGCGAGUCCCUGAUUAUCCCAGUAAGCAAGGGCGAAGCGAAGACUUGAAAGCUGUGGAUAGACGGUUCUUUUUGGCCGAACAAGACUUGAAGACGAAGUCUUCUCCCGAUUGACUAUCUUGUUGGGGAGGCGCUGGAACGCGUUCUUCCAUAACCAAGAUCUUCCCUUUCUCACAGCAUUUUCAGAGCAGGCCGGAGUAAGGAAACUGAAAAACCAGAUUUUUGGUAAAAUAUGAUGUUGAUUUAAAAAAAGGUGGUGUUAUUUUUAUGUA